GACGAACGCUGGCGGCGUGCUUAACACAUGCAAGUCGAACGGACAGGCCCUGCUUUUGUGGGGUUCUCGUUUGGCGAGCGGGUGAGUGACACGUGUGUAUCCUGCCCUUGUCUUUGUGAUAACUUCUGGGAACUGCGGCUAUUACCGGAUAGGAGCUCCUGCUGCAUAUGGGUGGUUGGAGAAUGUCGGCUGUUGGGGAUGUACUGGCGGGUUAUCAGCUUGUUGGUGGGGUAGUGACUUACCAAGGCUGUGACGGGUAGCCGGCAUGGGAGGUUGACCGGGCACAAGAGGACUGAGAGACGGCGCAGACUCCAACGGGAGGCAGCAGGGGGGAGUAUUGCACAAUGGGGGGAAGUCUGAGGUAGAAACGCUGCGUGCGUGAUGACGUCUUUCGGGUGGUAAACCGAUGUCGCCGGUGACGAAGCGUGAGUGACGGUAAUGGGUAAAGAAGCACCGGCUAACUACGUG
rnacentral:rRNA from 1 species